rnacentral:rRNA from 1 species
CGUCAAAUCAUCAUGCCCCUUAUGACCUGGGCUACACACGUACUACAAUGGCCGUUAACAGAGGGAAGCAAUACAGUGAUGUGGAGCAAACCCCUAAAAACGGUCUCAGUUCAGAUUGCAGGCUGCAACUCGCCUGCAUGAAGUCGGAAUUGCUAGUAAUCGCGGAUCAGCAUGCCGCGGUGAAUACGUUCCCGGGCCUU